rnacentral:rRNA from 1 species
GACGAACGCUGGCGGCGUGCUUAACACAUGCAAGUCGAACUGAAAGGCCCUGCUUGUUUGGUGUUCUCGUGGCGAACGCGUGAGUAACACGCGGGAGUAACCUCCCCAUCACUUGGAUAUGCCUUGGAAACUGGGUGUAUCACACGAUAGGACAACCGCUUAUGGUUGGUGGGGGAUAGAUGUUUCGGUUGGGGAUGGGCGCUCGGGCUAUUAGCUUGUUGGUGGGGUAGUGGCCUACCAAGGCGUCGACGGGUAGCCGGCCUGCGAGGGUGGGCGGCCACAUUGGGACUGGGAUACGGCCCAGACUCCUACGGGAGGCAGCAGUGGGGAAUAUUGCACAAUGGGCGGAAGCCUGAUGCAGCAACGCCGCGUGCGGGAUGACGGCCUUCGGGUUGUAAACCUCUUUCGACUGUGACGAAGCUUUAGUGACGGUAACGGUAUAAGAAGCACCGGCUAACUACGUG